UGAGAACUGGUUUUGAUGGACU
rnacentral:miRNA from 1 species